GAUGAAGAACGUAGCAAAAUGCGAUAAGUAAUGUGAAUUGCAGAAUUCAGUGAAUCAUCGAAUCUUUGAACGCACAUUGCGCCCGCUGGUAUUCCGGCGGGCAUGCCUGUUCGAGCGUCAUUUCAACCCUCAAGCCCCCGGGUUUGGUGUUGGGGAUCGGCUCUGCCCUUCUGGGCGGUGCCGCCCCCGAAAUACAUUGGCGGUCUCGCUGCAGCCUCCAUUGCGUAGUAGCUAACACCUCGCAACUGGAACGCGGCGCGGCCAUGCCGUAAAACCCCCCAACUUUUUGACAGAGUUGACCUCGAAUCAGGUAGGAAUACCCGCUGAACUUAAGCAUAUCAAUAAGCGGAGGA
rnacentral:misc_RNA from 1 species